GUUUUUAAUUAAUUAUUUCAGAUUUUUAUUCAUGCUUUUAGCUUUUUCUUAACACCAUCUGAUUAAAUGUCCAUAUCACUCAAACAAAAUUAUAAAUUGAUUACAAAAUUUAUAAAUUGAUUACCAACAUCUGAUUAAAUGUCCACAUCCGUCAAACCAAUUUAUAAAUUUAUGAUAUUGUUUAUAAUCAAUUUACCAAUUUUCAGAGUGCUUAAUUUAAUUUGACAGAUUAUAAUUUGAUUAAAAUCAUGAAAAUCUGAAAUAAAUAAUGGUUUUUGCAGGUUUUACGAUUUGAAGUUCACCACGCAUACAAUUACCAAUGACACAAGUUUCAUCCCGGGAAGAAUGUUGGAAUUGGCAAGGACCAUACAAUCUUUGCUCUAAUUGAUGGAUUAGUGAAAUUUGAGAAGUAUGGUCCUGACAAGAAAAAGGUGAGUGUUUAUCCACGAGAAAUACAGCCUGAAAACCCCAACAGCUACAAAGCAAGAAGAGAAGGAUAUUCUUUUCAAUCACAGCUAAUCCUGGCAUCUGAUGCCACUGAUAAUGCUGAUGAAAGUUAUCCGCUACUGUUUCCUUAUGGUUCUUACGGCGGUAUUUAAACAGAAGUUCGACUGGUAAAAUGUUGACAUGCCGAGAAUUCUAUGCAUACACAUUUCAGUUGUCUACUCCAACAAUUUGUUGUCGAUAACUGUGUCAAAAGGCAAGCGAAUAACUUGAGGUGGAUUGCACUCAACCAAGAUAAGAUACGUGCUAAUUUAUACAAGGGUUUAGAGAAUUCUUUAAAUGUUGGAGAGCAUAACUGAGAUUCUGAUUUUUCGUUGAGAUAUGUUAGUUGUAACAAAAUAAUUUUAACUUUAAUUCAUACUUUCACACGCAUCGGGUGCAUAUAAGACUAGGAUUUGAUAAUGUUGUGUAUGUUUUUUAUAUUGUGCUAAUAUUUUUUUUUCA